UAGAGCAAAUUAAUAUCAGCUGGUUCAAUCCUGAUGCCUAUAAAAAGGUCUCACAUUACUGAGGUGUCACACACUCGCUGAAGACCUUCGCAACCUUAUUGUUGCAAAACAUACUGGUGGCACUGGUUACAGAAGAAUUUCUAAACUGGUGAAGGUUCCACUGUUGAGGCCAUAAUCGUGAAGUGGAAAAAAACCCAUUUCCCCACAAUCUGGCCGCGACCAGCUGCUCCCUGUAAGACUUCAGACAGAAAAGUGAAAAGAAUCAGGAGAAGAGUUGUCCCAGAGCAAGGCCCACUUGUAGAAAGUAACAAAAAGAAAUGCUUUCACCAGCAUGGCCUGUAUGCAUGCUCACCAUGUAAGACUCCACUGGUGAAGAAAAAGCAUAUGUCACAGGCUUGUAUCUCCUCAGAUCUGUCAUAGUCAUGCAGUUUGCCUGUUCCUCACCUGAAUGCUGGCCUGACUGGAGAUUCUGUGCACUGGCUGUGCUUUUGGACGCACUCAACUCACCUGCCUGCCCUCCAGUCACCUCUGCCUCGGACUGCCAAACAUCUCAGGUUGUACCUCCGAGCCAGAGAGACCACAGCUCGAGUUACCUGCACCCCGAGCAUUCCCCUGAGUAUAGUUAGCACCUGUGAUAUUCUACGCACAUAUCCCCUUGUGAGCUCACUCCACCUGUGCUCUUGUAAAUAAAGUCUGUGUUAACAUGAUUCCUGCUGUUCAUGUUUGGUUCUACAUUUUUAGGUCCUCUUUCACAGACUGGCUUCCGGGCCCGCCUUGGUCAAAGCAGAAUGGAUUCUGCAGAUCAAGUUCGGGCAGUGAUCGCAAAACAGGGAUACCUGUUAGGUGCCAUGAACAAUCCAUCCAGUUUUUGAUAACUCAGUAUAAAGCUAUUAGUGACGGGCAAGAGAAGAUUCUCGCAUCCCUUCAAGGACUGCAACCUACUUCGGUACCUGUUCCUUCCCAGCCUGCUCCGUUUAUUGCCCCCAAAAGCUCCACACCCCCGGAUGUCAUUUCUAGUGAGCCCCAGGCAGCCCUGUUGUUUUGCGAUGCUUCAACCCCAGACCCUGAGCUGUUCGCUGGGGAGCAAGGUUGCUGCGGAGGGUUCUUACUACAGUGCAAUUUAGUUUUUGGUUGGUCCCCACGCUCUCUCCCUAAUCACCCCAAUUACCCAAAUUAGGUAAAAUAAUCCCUAAAAUUAUCUUACCUAAUUGGGAGAUUGAGAGGAGAGAGAGGCUGAAAGAAGCUACAGAUCCCACAGACCACCCUGUACUUCUCUUGCGGUUUCUGCUCCCACGUCUUCAGCUCCAAGCUGCUCCUGAGCCUAUGGAGAUUGGUCGCUCUUUGCUCACCACUCUGACCAUUUCCUUGCUGUCUGUCCCAAAAGGCUCCAUCCAGGACGUCACCCGAUCCCACUCAGCCAUCCCCUCCCGAGCCACUCUCCAACAUUCUCGAGGUAAGCUUCAUCAGAUCAGACAGUUUAAUCUGUCCUCAGUUUCAGUCCUCGGUCCCACAGAUAAUCUUUCUCUGCCUCUAUUUCAGAGACCCCCGCUCGAGUUACCCCUGUGUAGUUAGCACCUGUGAUAUUCUACAUGAACUCACUCCACCUGUGCUCUUGUAAGUAAAGUCAGUGUUAGCGUGAUUCCUGCUGGUUCUGCAUUUUUAGGUCCACGUUCACAUACUGGCCUUGACAGCACGCUGAAGUGCAUUUAAAGUUUGCUGAACAGCAUUUAGACAAGCCUGUAAAAUCCUGGGGGAAUAUAGUCUGCUCAAUCCAAAUUUAAACUCUUUGGAGGCCACAAUAAACACCAUAUUUGGAGAGCAAAAGAAAUUGCAUAUCACCC